CGUUUCCUGUCUCUCUGAGCCAGGUGUCCUGUAUGUUUAGUCAGGUCAACCAGUGUAUUUAUUCCUGUGUUUCCUGUCUCUCUGAGCCAGGUGUCCUGUACGUUUAGUCAGGUCAACCAGUGUAUUUAUUCCUGCGUUUCCUGUCUCUCUGCCCCAGUUUGUCUUGUAUGUUUAGUCAGGUCAACCAGUGUAUUUAUUCCUGCGUUUCCUGUCUCUCUGCCCCAGUUUGUCUUGUAUGUUUAGUCAGGUCAACCAGUGUAUUUAUUCCUGCGUUUCCUGUCUCUCUGCCCCAGUUUGUCUUGUAUGUUUAGUCAGGUCAACCAGUGUAUUUAUUCCUGCGUUUCCUGUCUCUCUGCGCCAGUUUGUCUUGUAUGUUUAGUCAGGUCAACCAGUGUAUUUAUUCCUGUGUUUCCUGUCUCUCUGCGCCAGUUUGUCUUGUAUGUUUAGUCAGGUCAACCAGUGUGUUUUUCCCGUACUCCUUUUCUAUUCUCUUUUUAAAGUCCUCCCGGUUCUGACCACUGCCUGACUCUGGACUACUC